AGCUUGCUCCUCUGACGUUAGCGGCGGACGGGUGAGUAACACGUGGAUAACCUACCUAUAAGACUGGGAUAACUUCGGGAAACCGGAGCUAAUACCGGAUAAUAUAUUGAACCGCAUGGUUCAAUAGUGAAAGACGGUUUUGCUGUCACUUAUAGAUGGAUCCGCGCCGCAUUAGCUAGUUGGUAAGGUAACGGCUUACCAAGGCAACGAUGCGUAGCCGACCUGAGAGGGUGAUCGGCCACACUGGAACUGAGACACGGUCCAGACUCCUACGGGAGGCAGCAGUAGGGAAUCUUCCGCAAUGGGCGAAAGCCUGACGGAGCAACGCCGCGUGAGUGAUGAAGGUCUUCGGAUCGUAAAACUCUGUUAUUAGGGAAGAACAAAUGUGUAAGUAACUAUGCACGUCUUGACGGUACCUAAUCAGAAAGCCACGGCUAACUACGUGCCAGCAGCCGCGGUAAUACGUAGGUGGCAAGCGUUAUCCGGAAUUAUUGGGCGUAAAGCGCGCGUAGGCGGUUUUUUAAGUCUGAUGUGAAAGCCCACGGCUCAACCGUGGAGGGUCAUUGGAAACUGGAAAACUUGAGUGCAGAAGAGGAAAGUGGAAUUCCAUGUGUAGCGGUGAAAUGCGCAGAGAUAUGGAGGAACACCAGUGGCGAAGGCG
rnacentral:rRNA from 1 species